UAACACAUCCAUCACCUUACAUAUUUGGGUUUUUUUGGUGAGAACAUUAAGUUCUACUCUCUUAGCAAAUUUCCACUAUACAAUAUAGUGUUCGAGAAUGUGCAUCCUAAUGGGUUCUCUAGUGAGGCUGCAGAGCUAGAGGCUAGGACCAUAGUUUGAGAUCCCUGGUCCCUCAAACGGCCUUUAUUUCCUGCCUCUAUGUAAAUCCUCCUCACCAGCGUGGCUCCCCUUCCCCGCCCCCUUGAUUCCCUUCCUCUUCCUCCCUUUGGGGAAGCAGUUGCUCCUCCUUAAGAACCUCCCUACUUCCUGCCUGUGAAUCCAAGCCCAGGCUCACCUUUCACAGCCCCUCUGAGUUUGCUCCUCCUCCUCCACUAGCUUCCCCCGUCAGAUUGCAAGCUCCCUGGGAGCCUCCCACUCCCUCACCCCGACGUCCACUCUAUCACCAGGAUCAUUUGUUUCACCUCCCACAUGUCUCCCCUCUACCCUGACACCACCACUGUGGUCCGAGUCCCAUCUUCUUGGGCAGGUGUCCUCAAAGUGCUCUCCUUGUAGCCCCUCUUGCCGUCGUCAUCUCUUUUCCCCCUCAAGUCUGAGCGACCUUUUCAAAGUCUUCCCCACCAUCACUCCCUCCCUUCCUCUGACACCACUUCAGCCCUGUCAGUGGCUAAUAAUUGGUUAAUACUAAUUAAGCCUUCCUCUAGAGGGAAAAACAGAGAGAUUUGUCUAUAAAGCAUUUUACGCAUCUCAUGGAAAAGCCUUAUGCAGUCACCUGACAUAUUACAGAACCAUUGUCACCUUCACACCUCGAUCUGCAGCCAGACUGUCUGGGUUUGAAACCCAACUCUUCCACUUAACUCCAGGCAAGUCACUUGACCUCUCUGUGCCUCGAUUUCCUCAUCUGUUAAAUGGGGACCUUAGCCAUUAAUCUUAGCCUACAAUCCUGAGCGUGGCCCAGGAGUCACUGUGGGUGGGCCCUGCCUGCUCCUCCAUCUACCUCUCUGCCUCCUUCACCCUGUUCUGUGCUCUGCUCCAGCCACAUUGGCCUUACUGUCAGGUCCCUACAGGGCCUUUGCAUGAGCUGAGGUGUUCUCCCUACCCCCACCUCACCUGAUUAGUGCCUCAGCAUCCUUCACAUUGCUCCUCAAGCUUCCCCAGGGAGGCCUGUCUGACCCCUCUCCAACUGGUGAGAUUCCUUUGUUACAGAUCCACUUUCUCAUCCUCAUAGUGCUUUUUGCCCUUUACAAUUGUACCUUCAAAGUGUGAUAAUUGAAUCAAGGUGUGUCUCUCCUCCUGGACUGUAAGUUCCAUGGAGCAGGGACCUGAUUCAUUUGUGUUGAUCCCUGUGUCCUCAGGAGCUGGCAUCUAGAAUGCACUCAAUAAAUAUUUGCUGAUGAAACCAGUGGGAUCCUUUGCAAUUCCACGCAGUGACACGCACAUCAUGCACACCUUGGGUGGACUGUCCACCUCACUUAGGAGGUGUGAGGGAGUGUGGGUCUCUAAAAAUAUGAUACUGGGAAACAAAAACCAGACUCCUCUCCAAACCUUUAACAAUUGCCUUUUUAAAAUUGUCUGUAAUAUAUAAGAAUUUGGCUCUGAAUGUCUCCAUAAUUGGUGGCAUGAAUCGGCCCUUGAGGUCGGAAAGGCUUCUUUGCUCUGGCUUUAAUUAGGACAAAGUGGAAGCCAUUUCUAUGUAAAUUAAUCAAUCCAUUGACAGCACACUUCAGCUCUGAUUAUAUGUUGGGCCUUGGGCUGGAGCCCUAGGAGAUGAAUGAUGCAGUUUCUGCCCCUGAGGGGAUGGGAGGCAGAUGGCAGUCCCCCGGAGAGUUUAAUAGCAGGGAAGAAUUCAGUAACAGUAUGGACGAUGGCACCAGAAGUGUGCUUUGAGCUUAGCAUCAACCUCAGCACUCCCCUCACCUCACAUUUCAGAGAGCUUGAGACAUCACCGUGAGACAUCUACAGAAGGUCUCCAGGAAGAUUUUGGUACUUCAGUGAAAAUGUCAGUGUUGUUGGAAAGAGCCCAGACCAAGGAAGGGGCUGGGGCUGGGGUUGGGGUCUAGGGUGAGCUAACUGCUUACCUGGGACCAAAUCCUGACCCUGGCACCCACUGGUCAGCAACUUGGGCAUUGUUCUGAACUUGUGUGAGCCUCAGUUUCCUCAUCUGUGAAAUGAGAAUCAUAAUAUCUACCUAUAGAACCAUGGCAAGGAAUAAACAAAACAAGGUACACAGCACACUUAGCACAGUACCUGUGAUGUAGAGAUGCUGAAUCUGUUGUUAUGAUGAGUAUCAGGCCUGCAGGGCAGUGCCUACCAAACACCUAUGUGGCAUUUUCUAUAAUGAACAACAGCUAUCACCAAAACAGCCUAUUAAGUUGCCAGCAGGUAUCUGACCUGUUCACCACACAGGAGCAGUAGGGCGUCAAAGAAAUGCUGACCAGUCAAAGUUCUUGGAACAGUGAAGGUCACUGACAGUAGCGUUAUAUGGAAUCUUCUCAAGUGUGUGAGUCCGUGUAGUUAGACAGUUUAUUACUCUAAGUCAUAUUUUACAUACAAAUUUUCAACAACCUUUUUUUGUAAGGCUGCUUGUUGUGUUUUAAAAUUAUGGGUUUAAAAAAGUAUGUUUAAAGUAAUCAGAGAGUCAUCACUUCCAAGUUCUGGGCACAAAGUGCUGACUCCCGCUAAGAACAUGGGCAGGCCCGAGGUCACGGGCAUGGCCUUGGGUCUUACAGAACUGAGUUUGCAUCCUGACAUAGCCCCUUCAGUUCUGGAACCCUGGGCAGGCCCCAUGGCCUCUCUAAGUCUCAUUUUGUGGCCUGUACAAUGGGGUUAAUAGCAAUACCUAUUCUGAGGGCUGUUUUGAAGAUUAAAUGACAUAGAUACAAAAGUGUCUGACAGUGUGUCCAAUAAAUUGUUGGUUUCCCUUCUCUUCCCAUUAACAUACACUUUCUCUGAGCGAGGUCAGAUCUCCAUUGCCCAUGGUGGAAACCUAUUUGAUAACCUACCGUUUAUGGCUGCCUUCCCUUCCCUGUCUCACUUCCUCACUCUGCUACCGUGCUUCCCAAAUACACUACUUACAGUCGAAUCUUUGUCUCAAGGUCAGCUUUGGGGAGAAUCUAUCCUAAGGCAACAUUUCAGAGUGUCCCUAAAAAAAACGUAGUGAUCUCAUUUACUGAAAUACAAUAUGAAACCUGAGUUAUCAACACCAGCCUGCUCAUUGUCUCUGACCUUGGGCAAUUAACUUCAUUUCUUGAGAUCUUGCCCGUUCUACAAGAAGAGGGUCACGGGCUGCUUCAACUGGGGUGCAAUAGACAGUUUGGGUGGAACAGUGAUUUGUCGUGUGGGAUGAACUGGGCAUUCCAAGUCAUCUAGCACCAUGCCUACUAAAAUCAGUAAGGGGGUCCCUCCUCUAGUCAUGGUGAAACAACAAACACCCCACACACUACCAAAUAUCUGUAGGAGGCAGCACUAUCCCUAGUCGAGAACUGCUACCAGACCAUUUCUGAAGUCCUUUCUGGUUUUGACAUUCUACAAUUACAUUAUCAAUUAAGAACCUCAGACGCGGAGUGACACCCACCAUGGCACAUUUCAGUUUGGGAGGGCUGUUCAAUGAUGACUCUUGAGUAGAUUCCAUGAUGUCAGAAAUAACCACUGACUUGCCUUCUUCUCGAAACAUUGAAGAAGGGAACAUUUAACUCUGCCUCGGCUUCUUAUACUCGUUGACCCAUUUCUCCCUUCAUUCACUUGACAGGGUUUCCCUGCUUUUGUGGUCAGUGAGAAACUUUAAAAGCUUGCCUGUAGAUACAUACAUGCUCUGGAAGCAUUGGCUCUUUCUUACAGCAGGCUCAUCCCUGGGUAACAAUGUCUCUGGUUAUCUCUACCUUGUCAGAGACUCACACAUAGAGUAUAGAAGAAGAGAGAAGGAGAAAAGUUUUGGAAGGUUUGCUCUGUCUUAGAUGGAGGCAGAUUUCUGAUUUAUUCCUGAGCCAUUUAUUAUUCUACCACUGGAGUGAUUUGAGGCCACCACAAUUUUCCUUUUCCUUUUACAAAAGAGUUUGAGGAUGCCAAUAAAUUGCUUUGUUUUCUUGAAGAAAAUCUAAAAAUAUGUUCCUGUGUGGGAAAGAUUGGUCUCAUUAUGCCACACACCUAGCCACUGUCUGCCAUGUAGGAAACUGUCCAUAAAUAUGUACCGAACUCACGAAACAACAAGUUGUUCUUGUUCACUGCGUGAAACCUUUGAGAACUUUUCCUUCCACGGAUUUUUUUCCAUUCCAAGAAGGCAUUGGAAGACCAUGCUACCAUGCCUCUUUGGUGUGUGGUGAGCUUAAUUUUUCCAGGAAGGAAAGUUUAGGGGAAUUCUUAUCUUGAUUUCCCAUAAAGUGAUUAAAUUGUGGAGGUAUAUUGAAAUAUGUCAUAAAACCUAUUGCAAUAGCAGCAAAGACUUGCCAGAUGGAAAGCAAAGCAACAACUCUCGUCAUGUCCAAGCAAGACAAGGACCAAUCCAAAUAAAGGAAGAAAAAAUGGGGCAUUUGCUCCCAUCUUUCAGGCAGGCACAUGGUGCCAACCUUAAAGUGGAGUUUCUGGUAGACAUUUUGCCUGUUCUCUUAGGCUUUGGUAUCAGCAAAACUCAACAGCUGAGCUCUGUCAAAAGCACCACAGGGAGAUGGGAGCUUGAUCUUUAAAUUGGAUUCCAGGCAUAAUAAAUGAUGAAAUAUCUGUGCUUAUAGGUUUAAACUGGGGCAAAUCUACCUCUAAAAGAAGACAGAAUCUCUUUGCAUAAGGAGGAGAAAGUAAAGUGAGUUAGAAUUAAAUUAUGUAGCUGAAGAAUUUCUGGGAAAGUAUGCUUCCUAGUCCAUCCCAGGCAGAGGUAACCACGGGGUCCUGCCUGGUGCUAUCCUGCUGAUGAGGUCAACUUUUCACAAAUCAGACCCUACGGAGGUUAAUUUCUGUAACAGGACAAAGCUGAACUUCAGAAAAAGAGGGCUUCAGGUCACAAAAAAAUGGAGGUGUCCUGUUGGCUCAGCACAGUGGCUAAGUCCACCAGGAAAUGUGGCGUCUGGCCUGGCGGUGACAGGGGAGUACGUUGCAAUGAGGGGGUUAGACAGAGGUCAGCAAAGCCAAAGGGUUUCAAAGAGGCAGGCAUGGGGACUGUCCUGCUCAGCGUCCUGACCCGCCAGGCUGAUGUCAGAGGGUUUAUUCAGAUUUGAGAGCCUUUGUUUGGGGGGAUUGGAGUGAUUCCUAAGAGACAAUACGCGACUGGAGGCUGGAGGCACGCGACGCCUGCAUUGAAUUUGGGCAGUUGCUGAGCAGAUGGGGAGCAGAGGGGCAACAAAGGGGAAGCUGUUCCCAGCACAUCCACGGGAAGGGAGGACUGCAGAGCCAGCCGCCAGCAGAAGGGCUGCCUGCCUGGGGAGGCCAUUGUGCCCCCACCUUGUGCAAGACAAAGCAUCCCCAGGGCUUGUGAGGCUUUGCCCAUUUCACGGAGAGGAGAGAAAGGCAGGUGUGGGAAGGGUCAGGUCCAUGAACUUCUCCUGCAGCUGGAAUUUCAGGAGGUUUGUGCCAUUUCCUCAUUUGCAGGCUGGUGAGGCUCCUGGACUCAUAGAAUGGUAGAGCAGAAAGUGGCCUCACAGUUAAUCCAGUCUGACCCUCUCAUUUUAAGGUGCAUUUAAGGAAAUGAGACCUAGAAAAGUGAAGUGCCUUUCCUAGACUCUGUCAGUGUCUUUGGUUGGCUUCCUCUGAAAGCAGGCAUGAGGCGAGGAAUGGAGUGCGAGCUGUGUGUUUAGGAGAUGAUCCCAGGAAGCGGUGGUCAGGGACUGGGGACGUGAGACAGGAAAGAGAGGGAAGGCACGUUAAUGAGCAGCUCCCAGUGGCCUCAGUACUGCUUGGGACCUCUGGGAGACUGAGUCAACACACUUCAGAGCGUCCCACCCAGGGGGUGAGGAAUCCGCAAUUCCUGCUGCUCCCAGAGGCAUCGAGUCCCCGGUACUUUUGAGCUCCUGUGGCCAGAGAAAGCCUUCAGACAGAAUGUCGCAGGUGCACGCAGCAGGCAGCCGUGAGCACGUAGAGAAUGGGGAGGGACUUCAUCAGAGGGGUUUCUGGUGAAGCUCUUGCCAGUCCCCUUAGCUAGUGGGGAGGCUGACCUUUCUGAGUCCAGGCAAGCAUUUCUCUGGGUACUCAACAUCACACAGAUCAAGAAUGCUUUUCUGUGCUCUUAGGGGUGCAUGCUUCUCUUUUUCCUGGGAGUACAGUAGAUGUUCAGGUUGUGCAUACAGUGACUCUCCUUCUAGCCAUUGCCUUUGUCUCCCUGCCUCCCUUUUAGCCAAGCUUUACAGAAGCCUACCUGAUUGGUGCCCUCUACCAGCACACACCUCUGAUCAUGCUCCUAUUUGUCUUCUUUUUCGUCCCACCCCAACUGCACUGCCUCCUCUUUAUCCCUGGAACAUACCAAAUACACAAGGUCCUGCCUCAAGGCCUUUGCCCUUGCGGUGCCCUCUGCCUGGAGCACUUUCCCCCUGCUUUUCACAUGGCUCUGACUCCUCUUUAGGUCUCCAUUCAUAUCUUGCCUUAUCCAUGAGGCCCUUCCCGACCACUUCCUUUAAAAUGUGACACAACCACUUAUCUUCGUCCUCCUUGCCUGCUUUAUUGUUCUCCAUAGUCCCUAACACUCUGUGGCACCCCAUACAAUUUGUUUGUUUAAUCAUAUCACGUGUCUACUUGUCCGCUUGGCCUCUCUAGAAUGUAAGCUUCAUGAAGGCAGGGACCUGUGUCUGUUUGGUUCACUGCUGCAUCCCCAAUGCUUAGAACUGAGCCUGGCACAUUGUAGAUGUGGAACAAAAUUGUUGAAUGAUUGAAUGGUACUAUGGAGAUUAGACAUGUUUCCUUCUUUUCCCCUUUCUCUAGCAACUAGCACAGUGCCUGGAAGGCUAACAGGACCUCUUUGCCCUAAAAUUUAAACAACCCGAGGGAGGUUUUGCCUCAGGCAGUCAACAGAACAGAGGCUGUGGAGCCCAGCAGACCUUUGCUGGAGUCCCUGGAUUCAGAGCCCAGUCCGUCAAUGUCCUAGACAUUACUAGCUCACCAUAUCCAGCUCUCCUCUCUUCCGGGCACAUGGAAGGUUACACUCCUCAGCCCUCUUCAAUGGGGCAGGGCCACAUGGCUAGUUCUGGCUAAUGUGCUUUCAGUGGAAAUGAUGUGUCACUUCCUGGCUGAGGUAUAGAAGAGCAGGUGUGAGGUCUCCAUGUGCUCUUGUCACCUGACUCAGCAAACCUUGAAGUCACUUGUGGAGAUGGUGGAGCUUUUCCACCUGGGUCCCUGAGUAACAAUAUGGAGCAGAGCUCCCCACUGUCCUGCUUUGUACAUAUGACAUGGACAGAACACCUUUAAUUUGGGGGUUAUUUAUUACUGCAGCGUAAUCUAGCCUAUUCUAACUAACGUAAUCAAGUACUAGUGGUGUUGCUGUAGGUAAGUCACUUCACUCUGAACCCCUAUUUUCUUAUUCAUAAAGUAAACAAUCUCUGUACCGUAGGGCCAGCAUGUGUGUGUGUGUUUGUGUAUGCUUGCUUUAACUUGUGACUUCCACAGUAGCCCUAGGGAGGAGUUGCUGAGGACCCAGUCUCUCCAACAGAUGCAGUAUCUCAACCAGGAAGAUAUAGCAUGCUGCCUUUGGAGUCAGAAAAGGAAACAAAUUCCAUGACAUGGGGCUAUCAGGAGGUUUCUUGGUGAAUUUGGACUCUUUAGAAUGAAGAGAUUUGCUACCAGGGAAGGGCAGAACCGAUUGUGAAUGAUAAGAGCUAAAGCAGUCUGGGUUGGAGCAGUUAAAUGUGAGCUCUGGGUCUAUGUGGCAGGUUACUUUGGUAUUUGAGAAGGUGGAGUGUCAGGCUGAGGCAGAGAGAAACUGAUCAGACCAAGACUAACAAGCAUCUGAUUUGGGUGGUGGAGAGAGGAUGGAUGGAAGGAAACAGAAAUGAGGAAAUCUGGGCUUAGCUCUUGAUAAACAGGUAACCCUCUGAAGAGCUUUGGAAAAUUAAUUUCACUUCUCUGAACCCUGGAUAGGGCAAAACAUCAGAUAUUUCCUAAGAGGCCGUGCCCCUGCCCCUCCCCCUACCAAGUGACUGAGCUGUUCAUCUUCACAAUGACCCGAUUAGAAAGAAGGGAGACAAAUACCCAUUAACCCCCCUUCUGGGGGAAAGACUGAGAGAUGUGUCACUAAAGCAUUUUAUACAUCUCGUAGAAAAGCGUUAUGCAGUCACCUGAUGUAUUGCAGAACCAUUGUCACCUUCACACCUCGCUCUGAAGCCAGACUGUCUGGGUUUGAAUCCCAACUCUGCCACUUAACUCCAGACAGGUUGCUUAACCUCACUGUGCCUCAAGUCUUCAUCUGUGAAAUGGGGAUAAUAGCAGUGCCCACCUCAUAGCGUUCUGGGGAGGGUAACAUGAGUUCACUCAAGUGAUCUACUGAAGCCAAGGAGCUGGCACACGGCUAACAUUCAGUCAGUGGGAGCUCUUACAAUUGUGAUGAUGGCAUUAUUCACAGCCUCACGUGCGCACGAAUCCUCUUUCAGGGUCUGCAUUCCAUAGAACAUUAGCUAAGAGAGUGAAAUACCAAGGGUCGAAAAACUCUGUCCAGUAGUUUAUAAUCCUAAUUUCAUUGGGAAAGGGCGAGAAGAGGAAAAACAAUCCUGUAGGGGCAUCUAAACCUUUGAAAGAGGUGCGGUGAGGAGGGCUUAAUCUUCUUGGCUUGGUCAGUCAUCACCCACUAGCUGCCUGACGUCUGUUACGGACCUGAGCCUGCUGUGAAUUGAUCUCCACUCCGGCUCCCUGCCAACAUCAUCGUGCAAGGCGGCCAGAGCCUUUGGAAGCGGCCUGCAGAGAGACUGCCAGGGUUCUGUGUACUUGCACGCCCGCUCCCCAGUUGUGAGAAGCAGUUUUUACAUUUCUGCCACUUGCCUGACCUGCUGUGGCAAAGCAGCCUGCCGGGGAGGCUUGGCAUCACUGCCUGGCACUGGUGCCCGUUCCUUCCUGGCAUUGGCCGAUGCUAGCAGGAACAGGGACAGUGCCAAGCAUGCUACCGUGGCUGUGCCAAGCAGUUCCACUGCAGCAGCAGCCUGAAGAUGCUUGAACCUGCUCAGUUGUCGUUAAAACUAAUGCUGAAGACACUAGAUGGGGCUGGCCAUUUCCUUACAGCGUCCUGUCUCUAAGCAGUUGUGGCUUCCUGGGUCAGCUUCAUAGGCAUCUAUUGUUCAGAUGGCUGAAUCCAGAGAAAGUAAAGCUGCCACAACAAGGUGACACCCCAGGGGACUUCUCCUUGAGGAAGUCCUGAAUCCAGAGAAAGAUUGAGACAGAGAGAAAUGUUGAGAUGUGCAGUGCUUUUGCAUCAGUUAGCCCUGGAUUCAAGCUCAGGAUCCAUCACUUCCAGGCUGGAUGAUCUUGGGCAAGUUACAUGAUCAUUCUAAUUCUCAGCGUUCUUAUCUAUGAAAGUAUAUAAUUGUAUAUAUAUUUUGUAUAAUUGUAUAAAUUAUAUAAAUUGUAUAAUAAUUGUAUCUAGCUUGUGGCAUUGUGAUGAAGAGUAAAGGAGAUAAUAAGUAAUAAUUAACACAGUUUCUAGCACAAGGUAAGUAUUCGACUAAUGCUAGGUGCUAUUAUUUCUUAUAUAUUACUAUUAAUAUUCUCACGGGUGCUUGACCCUCUAGGGAAGGUGGUAUAAACCAGUGCUUCUGAAACUUAAGUGUGCAUAAAAAUCAUCAGGAGAGGUGGCAAAAAUGCAGAUUUCUGAGCCCCAUCCUCAGAGAUUCUGGUUCCACAGGUCUGCAUUUCUAACAAGGUCCCUGGUGAUGCUGCUGUUGCUGGUCCAUGGACCACACUUUGAAUAGCACUGGUAUAAACCACAGGGCAGCGUUAUCCUUAUCUGCAACAGGUAUUCUGAAGCACUUAGGGGGUGGAAGCAAUGCACUUCAUCUUAGCUCAUGCCAUAAGCUCCACAUAGAAUCAUGUGACUUUUACCUGACUGUAACUCCUAUUCCAUUUGGCUGCAGAAUUAAUACUUAACAUUGUCCUAAGCAUUGAUAAGACAGGAAGGCAGAAGCUAAUGCCUAGAAAAACUGACAUAACUAGGAAAUGCUUAGGGCUUGAAGGCUGAUCCUACUGCUGAACCUGAACGCUACAUAGAAGUCAGAGCAUAUUCCCGUCACAGGGAAGUGGGUUCCCCUUCCCCGGGGAGGCUGCUGGAGCUGAUGGAGGGACGCGUGCUCAUUGUCGGCUUCUCUUGCACAGAGCUCACGCAGAGAGGAAAAUAAAGGUGCUAAGGAAAUGCUCUCCAGGCAGUUCUUGAUUCUUUUUCAUUUGUAGUUAUGAGACACAAAAGUCAAAUACCAUUGCUAUCAAAAUAAGGGGCUAGAUUGCCCUCGGUGUCCUGUCAAUUUUCCCUCACAUCUUCGUAUGCCGGUGCCGUCAUUCAGAGUUUGGGAUUUUCUCCUUUCUCCAUGUCCUCUCUUUUUUCUUUUGACAGCAGAGGCUCCUUCACUCAAAAGUGUCUGGAUUCUGGGAGUCCCUGAAUUUGGGUCUCCCUGAGGACAAAAUGCAAGAGUAAUGGAGCUGUAGGCUAACGCUUCAUAAGUGCUUUGUCUCAGCCAGGCAGACACUGUGCUAAGUGCUUUCAGGCAUAACAUUAUUUAAUUCUUGCCGCAAGUUGAAUGGGGUUGAAAUCAUUUUCCCAUUUUACAGAUGAAGAAAUGGAGACACAAAAAGGUGAAGUAACUUGUUCAAGGUUGUAGGGCUAGGAAGUGGCAGAGAUAGAUGCAAAUCUGACAUUUUGAGCUCGGUUUUUAACCAUGAUGCUUUAUUUGUGUAUAAUCACAACCAUGUAAAAAAUAUAAGCCAGGCAAAAAUUCUACAAGGAAAUAUAUCAACCUUUUGACAAGCAUUUGUCUGGAUGAUACAUUGGUACCACUGUGCACUUUUUUUCUUCUGUUCUGAUUUUCUAAUUCUUCUCCCGAUGACCAUAUAUUACUUUUACAAUAAAAUAUACUUUACUCAUUAAUUGAAAGAAAAAUCCCUUAGCUCAGUCUCUUUCCUCCUAGUUCAAUGUCUAAAGUCAUCCCAGGCAGAUGAUCUUCUGUUGUUCUGUGAAGAGGCCCAGGGACGCAAACUCUGCAGGAGCCAGUCAAUUUGGUUAAUCAUUCUGUAGAUUUACCUACAUGAGGCCCCAAAAGUGGCUGACUCCAUUAUCUGGAUGGAAGGACUCCUUGUAAUCAUG